AGAUGAGAGAAACACCCCGCUCGCAGGGGACUGCGGGCGACGCCCGGUCGGCGCUUCCCCGGCUCCGAUCAGGCCGUGCCCUCGCGCACACCACCGGAACCCCUGGCACUGGCGCAGGGGGCUCCGGGAAUCCUCACCGAUCGGA
rnacentral:ncRNA from 1 species